UCAUCAUGUGGUUGUUUGUUAACAGUUAAAAUAACUUUUAACUGAAGUUUAAUUUCCCGUUCAUCACUGCUGGUUGUUAUAAAGAGUUACUGCUCCUCUGAUCUCUGUUGUCAGAGUGUUUCUGGUUCUACAGGAUUCUUUCUGUCUCCUCCUCCUCCUCCUCCUCCUCCUGAUAAAGCUGAAACAGGUUUGUUGUUUUGCUGUCAGAGACAAAGGUUUCAGUCGACACACAUGAUAAGAUGUCUGGGUGUCCCAGAGGUCUUCCAGGUCCAGCUGGAGCGUGAGAAACCCUCCAAUCAGAGCAGUCCAGUACGUAAGUCUUUCACUUUUUAAUGUUCAUAUUGUGUUGAGUUCAGGGAGCAGAGAGUCUGUCUGUUUUCUCUCCACAUUAGUUAUCUGCUCAGCCAGCUGCUGUAACUUCACUCUGUGCUAUUAUUACUUUUACUGCAGUAACAUGUCUGAAUACUUGCUUUAAUCUCAGAAGGAAAGCUUGUACUUGUUAUUGUCCUCCAUUUAUCUGACAGCGUGUUACUCUGCACAUUCACAGUUUGCACACAAAGUCUGAAUCAGCAGUAAAACAUGAUGUAAUGUUCCAGAGAAUCAGCUCUCUCACUGCUACUUCUACAUCAAGUUCAUUUAGUAACAGAGCAGGACGUUGGACAGAGUAUUUUCACCGUGUAGUAUUAAUAGUUUGGAGUACUUCUUCCACUGCGUCACUGAGUCUGUUUAAUGAUAAAGUUUGUUCAUCACAUUUAAAACAUGUUGGAACUCGACGUGUGGAAAGUUCCUUGUGUUGCAUUCACAGGAUGAAGGAAGAACAAACACACACUGACAACAACAACCACAGUUACACAGAGAGAAGACACAAAGCUCUUAUUGUGAAAAUCUGCUUCCUGAUAGGUGGAGCUGUGACUCAUCAGA